rfam:Clostridium butyricum E4 str. BoNT E BL5262 CLP.Contig62, whole genome shotgun sequence.
UUUUUAUCAAGAAAGACGGAGGGACUGGCCCUGUGAUGUCUGGCAACCUGGAGGAUAUAUCAUAUAUAUAUUGUUUAAGGUGCUAAUUCCUGCAGAUUUUAUAUCUGAGAGAUAAGAA